rnacentral:rRNA from 1 species
UAUCAGAAGUGCGAAUGCUGACAUGAGUAGCGAUAAAGGGAGUGAAAAGCUCCCUCGCCGAAAGCCCAAGGUUUCCUGCGCAACGUUCAUCGGCGCAGGGUGAGUCGGCCCCUAAGGCGAGGCUGAAAAGCGUAGUCGAUGGGAAACAGGUUAAUAUUCCUGUACCUCUUACUGAUGCGAUGGAGGGACGGAGAAGGCUAUAUCUACCAGCGAUCGGUUGUGCUGGGGAAAGGUUGUAGGCAUGUAGCUUAGGCAAAUCCGGGCUACUCUAUGCUGAGAACUGAGACGAAUUUGUACUUGUACAAAAAAGUGAUAGAUGCCAUGCUUCCAAGAAAAGCUCCUAAGCUUCAGUCAGUAAGGGAUCGUACCCGAAACCGACACAGGUGGUCAGGUCGAGAAGACCAAGGCGCUUGAGAGAACUCUGGUGAAGGAACUAGGCAAAAUAGUACCGUAACUUCGGGAGAAGGUACGCUGUUGAGGGUGAAGUAUUUACUACGUAAGCCUUUGGCAGCCUCAGAAACUAGGCCGCUGCAACUGUUUAUUAAAAACACAGCACUCUGCAAACACGAAAGUGGACGUAUAGGGUGUGAUGCCUGCCCGGUGCUGGAAGGUUAAUUGAUGGGGUUAGCGAAAGCGAAGCUCUUGAUCGAAGCCCCAGUAAACGGCGGCCGUAACUAUAACGGUCCUAAGGUAGCGAAAUUCCUUGUCGGGUAAGUUCCGACCUGCACGAAUGGCAUAAUGAUGGCGGCGCUGUCUCCACCAGAGACUCAGUGAAAUCGAAAUCGCGGUGAAGAUGCCGUGUACCCGCGGCUAGACGGAAAGACCCCGUGAACCUUUACUGCAGCUUUGCAUUGAACUUUGACCUUACUUGUGUAGGAUAGGUGGGAGGCUAUGAAACUCGGACGCCAGUUCGAGUGGAGCCAUCCUUGAAAUACCACCCUGGUAAUGUUGAGGUUCUAACCCAGUCCCGUUAUCCGGGACGGGGACAGUGUAUGGUGGGUAGUUUGACUGGGGCGGUCUCCUCCUAAAGAGUAACGGAGGAGUACGAAGGUGCGCUCAGCGUGGUCGGAAAUCACGCACUGAGUAUAAAGGCAAAAGCGCGCUUAACUGCGAGACCCACAAGUCGAGCAGGUACGAAAGUAGGUCUUAGUGAUCCGGUGGUUCUGUAUGGAAGGGCCAUCGCUCAACGGAUAAAAGGUACU